CCUACUUGGAUAACUGUGGCAAUUCUAGAGCUAAUACAUGCGAAAAAGCUCUGACCUUUUUACGAAGGGACGAGCGCAUUUAUUAGAAUAAAAACCAAUCGACCCUCGGGUCGUCCAUUUGGUGAAUCUGAAUAACUUGGCCAAUCGCACAGUCCUAGCACUGGCGAUGUAUCUUUCAAGUGUCUGCCUUAUCAACUUUCGAUGGUAGGUUAUACGCCUACCAUGGUAGUAACGGGUAACGGAGAAUAAGGGUUCGACUCCGGAGAGGGAGCCUGAGAAACGGCUACCACAUCCAAGGAAGGCAGCAGGCGCGCAAAUUACCCACUUCCCGAACGGAGAGGUAGUGACGAAAAAUAACGAGACAGUCCUCUUCGAGGUCUGUCAUCGGAAUGGGUACAAUUUAAAUCCUUUAACGAGGAUCUAUUGGAGGGCAAGUCUGGUGCCAGCAGCCGCGGUAAUUCCAGCUCCAAUAGCGUAUAUUAAAGUUGUUGCGGUUAAAACGCUCGUAGUUGGAUCUGCGGCCGCGGAGGACGGUCCCCCGAAAGGGCGGUCACUGUCUCUCCUAGCCUAAUUUAUUUAGUCGUCUCUAGGUGCUCUUUACCGAGUGCCUAGAGUGACUAGAACGUUUACUUUGAAAAAAUUAGAGUGCUUAAAGCAGGCGCAAUCGCCUGAAUAAGGUGCAUGGAAUAAUGGAAUAGGACCUCGGUUCUAUUUUGUUGGUUUUCGGAGCCCGAGGUAAUGAUUAAGAGGAACAGACGGGGGCAUUCGUA
rnacentral:rRNA from 1 species